rnacentral:lncRNA from 1 species
AAGAGGUUCAGAAUUUUUGUUGCUCCUAGUCCUGACUGUAUCCUGCAAAAACAAAACACAAAACCCUAGAAAACAUUGUUAGUAAAAAAUUAAAAUUAAAAAGAAUAAAACACAAAUUUAAAUAAAAAUUAAAAAUAGGAAAAAAUAUAAAAAAUAAAAAUAAAAAGAGCCAAAGUUAAUCAAGAAUCAGACAAAUAGAAUAGCUUAAAUCGUGAGUCCCCGGCAACAACGUUGUUGGGCUGAAUCGGCAAGUGUACCGAGUCGCACAAGUAAUAUAACAUGGCAAGACCAAGUAUC